AGCGAACGCUGGCGGCAGGCCUAACACAUGCAAGUCGAACGAAGCCUUCGGGCUUAGUGGCGGACGGGUGAGUAACACGUGGGAACGUACCUUUUGGUUCGGAAUAACGCAGAGAAAUUUGCGCUAAUACCGAAUGAGCCCUUAGGGGGAAAGAGUUAUCGACGAAAGAUCGGCCCGCGUUGGAUUUGGUAGUUGGUGUGGUAAAGGCGCACCAAGCCUACUAUCCAAAGCUGGUCUGAGAGGAUGAUCAGACACACUGGGAGUGAGACACGGCGCAGACUCCUACGGGAUGCGUCACAGGGGAAUAUUGCGAAUCGGGCGAAAGCCUGACGCAGCAUUGCUGCGUGAAUGAUGAAGGUCUUAGGAUUGUAAAAUUCUUUUACCAGGGACGAUAAUGACGGUACCUGGAGAAAAAGCCCCGGCUAACUUCGUGCCAGCCGCCGCCGUAACAC
rnacentral:rRNA from 1 species